rnacentral:rRNA from 1 species
CGCCCAACAGCUAGCCUAAAAAAACAAAAACAACAACCAACCAUUAAUAACCCCUAAUACAGGUAAUAAACUAAACAAACCAUUUUUCCACUUUAGUAUAGGAGAUAGAAAAAGAUAUUUGAGCCAUAGAGAAAGUACCGCAAGGGAAAGCUGAAAGAGAAGUGAAACAACCCAGUAAAGCAGAAAUAAGCAGAGACGACACCUCGUACCUUUUGCAUCAUGAUUUAGCUAGUUCACCUUAAGCAAAAAGAAUUUUAGUUUAAUACCCCGAAACUAAGUGAGCUACUCCAAGACAGCCUAACAUUAGGGCGCACCCUUCUCUGUGGCAAAAGAGUGGGAAGAGCUUCGAGUAGAGGUGACAGACCUACCGAACUUAGUUAUAGCUGGUUGCCUGAGAACUGGAUAGAAGUUCAGCCCCUUAUAAUUCUUAACUCAAUAAAAGCCAAGCUUAAAAUGACAAAAAGAAUGUAAGGGAGUUAGUUAAAGGAGGUACAGCUCCUUUAUUAAAAGAUACAACUUUUCGAGGAGGAUAAAGAUCACACUCACCAAGGGAUUUGUGUUUUGGUGGGCCUAAAAGCAGCCACCCAAGCAGAAAGCGUUAAAGCUCAGACACUAACACCCCCCUCUAAUAACGAUUAACCCUCUAAAUCCCCUUAUACUAACAGGCCCCCCUAUGCCCCCAUAGGGAUGAUUAUGCUAAUAUGAGUAACAAGAAAGAAAGACUUUCUCCCAGCACAAGUGUAUGUCGGAACGAACCCCCGCCGAGAAUUAAAGGCCCCAACCAAAGAGGGAACUGAAUACUCUUUAAAAGACAAGAAAAAUACUCAACCAAAAACCUUUAAACCCACACUGGAGUGCCCCCCGGGAAAAACUAAAAAAGAAAGAAGGAACUCGGCAAACACAAGCCUCGCCUGUUUACCAAAAACAUCGCCUCUUGAACCCUAAAUAUAAGAGGUCCCGCCUGCCCUGUGACUCUAAGUUUAACGGCCGCGGUAUCUUAACCGUGCGAAGGUAGCGCAAUCACUUGUCUCUUAAAUGGGGACCUGUAUGAAUGGCAUAACGAGGGCUUAACUGUCUCCUUUCUUAGGUUAGUGAAAUUGACCUCCCCGUGCAGAGGCGGGGAUGACCACAUAAGACGAGAAGACCCUAUGGAGCUUUAGGCAAAAGAGCUGCUCAUGUAAAACCCCCCUAUAAAAGGACCUAACUUUGUGAAGACAGCUAGAAUGCCUUUGGUUGGGGCGACCGAGGGGAAAACAAAACCCCCACGUGGAACGGGGUGACAAACCCUAAAAACAAGAGCUCCCGCUCUAAUUAACAGAAAUUCUGACCUUACUGAUCCGGCAGCAGCCGAUCAACGGACCGAGUUACCCUAGGGAUAACAGCGCAAUCUCCUUAUAGAGCCCAUAUCGACAAGGAGGUUUACGACCUCGAUGUUGGAUCAGGAUGUCCUAGUGGUGCAGCCGCUACUAAGGGUUCGUUUGUUCAACGAUUAAAAUCCUACGUGAUCUGAGUUCAGACCGGAGUAAUCCAGGUCGGUUUCUAUCUAUGACGUGAUUUAUUUUAGUACGAAAGGACCAAAAAAACGGGGCCCCUGUAUAAAACAAGCCUCCCCCUCAAUUGCUGACAACUACUUAAGUAAGUAAGAGGGCACACCCCAAAGCCGAAGACAAUGGCAU